AACGUAGGAGGCAAGCGUUAUCCGGAGUUACUGGGCGUAAAGAAGUGCGUAGGCGGAUCUAUAAGUGGGUGGUGAAAGCGCCCGGCUAAACCGGGCGAGGUCCAUUCAGACUGUAGGUCUAGAGGCGGAUAGAGGGGUGCGGAAUUCCGGGUGUAGCGGUGAAAUGUGUAGAGAUCCGGAGGAACACCAGUGGUGCAGACGGCGCCCUGGGUCCGAACUGACGCUGAAGCACGAAAGCGUGGGGAGCGAACGGG
rnacentral:rRNA from 1 species